UGGGGAGUACGGCCGCAAGGUUAAAACUCAAAUGAAUUGACGGGGGCCCGCACAAGCGGUGGAGCAUGUGGUUUAAUUCGAUGCAACGCGAAGAACCUUACCUGGUCUUGACAUCCACAGAACUUAGCAGAGAUGCUUUGGUGCCUUCGGGAACUGUGAGACAGGUGCUGCAUGGCUGUCGUCAGCUCGUGUUGUGAAAUGUUGGGUUAAGUCCCGCAACGAGCGCAACCCUUAUCCUUUGUUGCCAGCGGU
rnacentral:rRNA from 1 species